CCUACGGGGGGCAGCAGUGGGGAAUAUUGGACAAUGGGCGCAAGCCUGAUCCAGCAAUGCCGCGUGUGUGAAGAAGGCCUUAGGGUUGUAAAGCACUUUCAGCAAUGAAGAAGUUGUAUUGGCUAAUAUCCAAUAUAAUUGACGUUAGUUGCAGAAGAAGUACUGGCUAACUCUGUGCCAGCAGCCGCGGUAAUACAGAGAGUGCAAGCGUUAAUCGGAGUGAUUGGGCGUAGAGAAAAAAUAGGUAUUUGAAAUCCCUGGGCUUAACCGAGGAAUUGCAUUUAAUACUUUUGAUCUAGAGUAUUGUAGGGGGAAGUGGAAUUUCCGGUGUAGCGGUGAAAUGCGUAGAUAUCGGAAGGAACACCAGUGGCGAAGGCGACUUCCUGGACAAAUACUGACACUGAGACACGAAAGCGUGGGGAGCAAACAGGAUUAGAUACCCUUGUAGUC
rnacentral:rRNA from 1 species